rnacentral:misc_RNA from 1 species
AACGUGAGCCUCUUCUCUGUUUUUCUCUGAAGGGUGCUUUGCCUUUGAGGUUUUAGCCUUUCAUCUCUGCCGUCAACUACGGCUACCCCUAACCCCUCUGGGCAGGGGUAGCUUUCCCCAUGUCUAGAGUGUGGGUUUUCCCCUCCCUAUCUCCAGGCAGAGUUGUGAAUAACUUUUAGUUUCUUUUGCAUUAGAUCCGGCUUAUUGGAGAGGGUAACUUGCUUCUAUCAAGAGGAGAACCACUUUACGUUUUUAACUUGUUUGGUGAAGCAGGCCAGCUGUAGGUGAAUCUGCAUGUUCUCAUUUAAAGAGUAUGAGUGGUCUUCCUGAGGGGCUAACAAACCUUUGUCCAGAUAUGGCUAUGAAAUGAUGAGAGGGAGUAAAAGUCAAAUGGGUGGUAUCUCUUGGGGUUGUGCUAAUAGUCCAUAUGGCCGCCUGGAAGGCGCGAGUGAGUCGCCAAAGAGCUCUGCCACCUCUUCUCUCUGCCGAUUAAUGUUAUGGUUUGUGGCCCCACCAACAUAAGGGUUUGGGUGCUUUCUUUUUGGGUGCCUGAUAUAGCCUUCUUCUCCUCCUAGGGUUGAUAUAGUAGAUGACUCUUUUAUCUGACCUGUGGCUUGUAUGUUCCUCUUGUACUUCUUUAUGUGUUGGACUCCUCAUAGGCUAUUAUUGGAGAUGCCAAUAAAAUUUGUGGCCUGUUAUAGUGCUGAUGGCGGCAUUCUUGCUGCUUUGGCAGUCUCUUCCAACCUAGUUUAGGAUUUUCUUAUUCCUUGGCUUGGGCUUAGCAUUCAUCUUCUAGUGGCUAGGUUUGGUUGUAUUUGAAUUAGGAUCUUUUUUAAUCCUUGAGCUUGGUUUGCUCUAUCUGCUUGUAAUGGGCUCUUUGCCUUCUAUUUAAUUCUCAGCAAUAUAGUUGACCUUUGAAGAAAAAAAAAUAUAUUGACUGCAAUGAGGGGAGAGAGAGAACUAUAGGUAAUGGUUACCUAAUCAUGAAUCAAAUAUGAAAAGUGGAAACUAGGAGUUCAUGCAACAAAACUACUGGCCAAAUAAAAAAGAGUCUGAUAUCCAUUCACAUGUGAAUCAUUCAGAGGAGGUAGUCUUUAUAGUCUGAGCCUAUAAAUACUAGCUCUACUUCUCACAUCUCCUCACCCAAAACCAUUCUACAAAUCAACAAUUUCUCCUUCUUGUCAUUCAAAAUCCUAUGCUAAAAUGGUGUUUUUGCUUAUGAAGAGGAAAUGACUAGCACUGUACCUGCUCAUAGGCUGUUUAAGGCUAUAGCCCUUGAAUCUGACAUCAUUAUCCCUAAAGCUGCACCACAUGCCAUCAAGAGCUCUGAGAUUAUUGAAGGAGAUGGUGGUCCAGGAAGUAUCAAGAAGAUUACAUUCGUUGAAGAGGUUUUCGAUUCUCAAAGACUUGGCUGGCUCUUUAAAUGUUCCACCGCAUAUGAACCUCCGGUGACUUCAAGCGUCUUUAAUGUGCCGGCCAAACCUAAGCUUGAAAGGCUCUUCAAUGAAUCAAGAUAGCGAUCGCCAACUAUUUCGGCUAUUAAAGAAAGGAAGUUAUGCCAUGUUUUCAGCAAUAAAAGAAUUACGAGUUCGUCCAAGCUAAUUAGAAGAUACCUGCAACUGAAACCACACACUAACAUGCCACGACAAGUUCGAGCAAGAUUGGCCAAUCCAUAUUCUAUAUAAAUUGAUCUCUUUUUCUACGAGACUGAAUUUUGGCACCGACUAUUUAUGAUCAUCUUAUUAAUUAAAGUGGAGCAAUAGCAUAGGGCAAACCAAGACAUGGUCCAGUUCGGAUCAGAAUUGAUGUCUGGAUUGACAAAAGAAUUUUGGUGUAUUUAUACAUGAGUCACAGGACAUAUAAUUUUGUUGGUGCAGGAAGAGACUUUUGAUGUUGAAUUAAUAUAGCCGUCCUAGUAGGAGAAAAAUAACAAUGCUGUUAGUUUUUAUUAUGCCAUUAUUAGUUACCUAUGUAGUUGAAGCAAUAAGAUUAUUAGGAAUCACUACCAUUAUCCUCAACUUAUAUAUAUAUAUAUAUA